rnacentral:rRNA from 1 species
UACAGAGGAGCCAAGCGUUGUCCGGAUUGACUGGGCGUAAAGCGCACGCAGGCGGCACCGCGCGUGGGGUGUGAAAUCUGGCCGCUUAACGGCCAGGCGCCAUCCCAUACGGCGGAGCUGGAGUGAUGCAGAGGUCGAUGGAAUUGCCGGUGUAGCGGUGGAAUGCGUAGAGAUCCGGAAGAACACCGGUGGCGAAGGCGGCUCACUGGUCCAUUACUGACGCUGAGGUGCGAAAGCGUGGGGAGCAAACAGG